UACGUAGGGGGCAAGCGUUGUCCGGAUUCAUUGGGCGUAAAGAGCGUGUAGGCGGCCAGGUAGGUCGGUUGUGAAAACUGGAGGCUCAACCUUCAGAGGUCGACCGAAACCAUCUGGCUAGAGUCCGGGAGAGGAGAGUGGAAUUCCUGGUGUAGCGGUGAAAUGCGUAGAUAUUUGGAGGAACACCAAUGGCGAAGGCAGCCCCUGGGUUCAACACUGACGCUCAUGCACGAAAGCGUGGGGAGCAAACAGG
rnacentral:rRNA from 1 species